AGUGAACGCUGGCGGCGUGCCUAAUAAAUGAAAGUCGAACGGAGUGGCGCACGGGUGAGUAAUGUAUAGCUAAUCUGAGGUACACUAGAGGACAAGAGUUGGAAACGGCUGCUAAUACUCUAUAGUGUAGGAUGAGGCUAUAUUGUAUCAGCUAGUUGGUGAGGUAAUGGCUCACCAAGGCUAUGACGCAUAACUGGUCUGAGAGGAUGAUCAGUAGCCCUGUAACUGAGCCACGGUCCAGCCUCCUCCGGGAUGCCCCCUUACUGAAUCUUGCUCAAUGGGGGAAACCCUGCCGCCGCGUCUCCCCGUGUGAUAUGACACUUUUCGGAGCGUAACCUCCUUUUUUUAGGGAAGCGGUACCUAACGAAUAAGCACCGGCUAACUCCGUGCCAUCCGCCGCGGUAAUAC
rnacentral:rRNA from 1 species